rnacentral:lncRNA from 1 species
CUGCUUCCCUGACCAUCUGGCUGAGCCGGGAGCGGAGCCGGAGCUGGAGCGGGAGGGGGAGUCCUGGUCCAGGGUGGGAGGCGGCUGCGGCAGCGGCGGCGUCCCCCUCCAUCCUCUCCCUCCUCCAGCCCUUCCCGGCCCCUCCUCCCCCUCCGCUGCGGCCAGACGCCGCCCCGCCAGCUGCGUCCUGGUCCUGGUUCGGGUCCCGGAGCUAGCGGAGCCGGAGCGGGAGCCCGAGCGGGAGCCAUGGGCUGCGGAAACUCCACAGCCACCAGCGCCAGCGCGGCCCGAGGUCCUGCUGGAGCUGCUAAAGAUGCGACAGAAGAAUCAAUAACAGAUGAUGACAAGAGAAGGAACUAUGGAGGGGUCUAUGUUGGCCUGCCGUCAGAUGCUGUCACAAUGGUGUCCAGUCAAACAAAGAGUGCACGAAAAGAUUAGAAGAAAAUUAUAUCCUGAUGUAAUAAACAAGAGCUUGCUCAUCAACAUUUGGGAAGAACUUAGUUCCACAGGAGACUUUCAUGUGUUGCAGACACUUUUGAGAAGGUUCUGGACACCCCAGAUCCCAAGUGUUGUCAGGCAAAGUUACAGGCAAAUCUUGAACGCUACCGAGGGAGAAGGAAAUCACUUGGACACUGUGCUCAAAGUAUGGAACCGCACUGUGGUCAUCUUGUAAUAAUCAAGCUCAUCAACUGUCCUGGGGCCUGCCACUUUAGACAGAAAUCUGCCCUGAGACCAGUAGGUAGUGUGCUCCUCCUCACUGGGGCCGGAUGGGAAAUCUCAUGAAUUAUACAGUUCACCAAUACGUUUUUGGAUGGCUUUUAUAUGAUAAAAAUCUUCAUUCUAUUUAUAAUGUCUAAUAAUGAGACACUGUAAGGGAAUUAAUGAAAAACCAUAUAUUUGACAUCUGUAAUCUUUUAGUACUCUCUGCACAAAUUGAAUCCAUUUUGUUUUUGGUUGUUAAAAUCUUAAAUUGAUCAAGUAGGCAUAAAGCUAUGAAGUUCUCACAGCUAUUUCUUUCCCUUUUAUACUACUGGUUUUCAGCUUUAUUAAAGCAUUCAGCUGCUCAAAGGAACUUUCUUUUUUAAGAAGGAUGUAUUUCAUUGCAACAUUUUUUUAAAAACAAAAUACUGGUUUUAUAUGUCCUGUAAAAUUUUGGUUCACCUUCUCUUUUCUUUGUAUAAAGGCUCAUGUAACUAGUGUCAUUGGUGUCUUCUCUCCCAUCCCACCUCCAAUAUGACCUUCCCAGAAAAGGUCACCAUGAUAUUAUUUAAUUAUUCAAAAUCAGUAAGGAUCAUUAUGGUGAAUGGCUAACGGGCUAUUUGGAAAAUACUUUAUUUGCUAAUAACUGUAAGUUUCUCUACUUAAUACUAUGCUGUAAUUUGCUAUGCUAUUUACCAGUGUAAUUAGACAAUUAAAACAUUUAUAUUCCUCUUUAGAAUGGAUUCUUAAUUCUGUUCUACAACAGGACAUAGUCAGAAACAUCACAUAUAGUAAUUACAUUAGUGAGAUUUGUUCAUUCAUUCAUAUGGCAAACUUUUAAGCACCGUCAAUCAAUCAGUCAAAAAACUCCUACUAUGUGCCAGUCAUUUUGUAAAAUGCUGGAGAUACAAUAAAGAAUGAGACAAUUUCUACUCA